rnacentral:rRNA from 1 species
UUAAAUGAAUUGACGGGGAGCACCACGAACGGGUGGAGCUUGCGGUUUAAUUGGAUUCAACGCCGGAAAUCUUACCGGGACGACAGCAUAUGAAGGCCAGGCUGAAGACUUUGCCGGAUUAGCUGAGAGGUGGUGCAUGGCCGUCGUCAGUUCGUACUGUGAAGCAUCCUGUUAAGUCAGGCAACGAGCGAGACCCACGCCCACAGUUGCCAGCGUACUCUCCGGAGUGACGGGUACACUGUGGGGACCGCCGCUGCUAAAGCGGAGGAAGGAAUGGGCAACGGUAGGUCAGUAUGCCCCGAAUAUCCCGGGCUACACGCGAGCUACAAUGGUUGGUACAAUGGGUAUCUACCCCGAAAGGGGACGGGAAUCUCCUAAAACCAAUCUUAGUUCGGAUUGAGGGCUGCAACUCGCCCUCAUGAAGCUGGAAUCCGUAGUAAUCGCGUUUCAACAGAACGCGGUGAAUACGUCCCUGCUCCUU